rnacentral:rRNA from 1 species
GGGGAAUAUUGGACAAUGGGGGAAACCCUGAUCCAGCGACGCCGCGUGAGUGAAGAAGUAUUUCGGUAUGUAAAGCUCUAUCAGCAGGGAAGAAAAUGACGGUACCUGACUAAGAAGCCCCGGCUAACUACGUGCCAGCAGCCGCGGUAAUACGUAGGGGGCAAGCGUUAUCCGGAUUUACUGGGUGUAAAGGGAGCGUAGACGGCACUGCAAGUCUGGAGUGAAAGCCCGGGGCUCAACCCCGGGACUGCUUUGGAAACUGUGGUGCUGGAGUGCAGGAGAGGUAAGUGGAAUUCCUAGUGUAGCGGUGAAAUGCGUAGAUAUUAGGAGGAACACCAGUGGCGAAGGCGGCUUACUGGACUGUAACUGACGUUGAGGCUCGAAAGCGUGGGGAGCAAAC